UACGUAGGGAGCAAGCGUUGUCCGGAUUCACUGGGUGUAAAGGGUGCGCAGGCGGGAGAGUAAGUCAGAGGUGAAAUCUCACAGCUUAACUGUGAAACUGCCUUUGAUACUGCUUUUCUUGAGUUCGGGAGAGGUUGAUGGAAUUCCUGGUGUAGCGGUGAAAUGCGUAGAUAUCCGGAGGAACACCAGUGGCGAAAGCGGCCACCUGGACUGCACCUGACGCUGACACGCGAAAGCUAGGGGAGCGAACGGG
rnacentral:rRNA from 1 species